rnacentral:rRNA from 1 species
UACGGAGGGGGCUAGCGUUGUUCGGAAUUACUGGGCGUAAAGCGCACGUAGGCGGCUUUGUAAGUUAGAGGUGAAAGCCCGGGGCUCAACUCCGGAAUUGCCUUUAAGACUGCAUCGCUAGAAUUGUGGAGAGGUAAGUGGAAUUCCGAGUGUAGAGGUGAAAUUCGUAGAUAUUCGGAAGAACACCAGUGGCGAAGGCGGUUCUCUGGGCAUUACCUGGACGCU